GAGGAGGAGGAGUCAAGGAGGCUUGGCCGCUCCAUUCACACAGCAACCCAAGCCUGGCCAGGCAGCGCGCGCUGCUCCUUGGGGGCGCCCUUGCAGCGGGGGCGGGGGCGGGCCUGGAGAAGCGUCUGUUUCAGAGGCACUCUCUCCUAUUCUACCCGCCACGCGCUCCAAACUGGCCUAUAUGGCGCAACCCUCCCCCUACCUCCCCUACUGGGCUUUCGAGAGUGUGGGCGCCCCGCGGCACUGGCAAGUUCCUCCAGGAAUGUGUAAAUUGUAACAUAUGGAAUGUAAGCGUCUGUUGGGAUGUUUCAUAAAUCUGCCUGGCAAUGAGCAUCACAAGGCCCUGCGUGAGAACAGGCCCCAGAGAGGACGAAACAGCGAGCAACAUGCCCAACAUCGAACUCUAAGCUGGUAAUCAGCCCAGAAACUGACACAUCAGAAAUUAAAUAAAAUAAAAUAAAGGACCAAAAGGAGACACCAGACACAGAAGCAUGAACUAUCUGGCAACAUGUUAUAAAAACAGGAGACUUUCCUUCUACCUGAAUCUUGGCUUGUUGGUGCCAAUAUGUGAAGAAAGCGUGGCAAUUGAGUGGAAAGAGAAGGUCUCUUUUAUAUCUGCUUAGGUUAGUGAACUGUCUUCGGUUGAGGCUGGUGACCUGUGACCUCUCUCACCUUCCACACCAAGGCUGACAUAUGUGGGCACAUGGAAUCCUUCAUCUUCAGUUCUCCCUCUCUCCUAAUGAAGGGAAGAUGCUUCAUCAGUGCCUCAGUGUCACGAUGAGUCUGAAUUACCACUCUGGAGGACUCAAACGAUGGAGAACAAGGGUUAGCCAUCUUCCCCUUGGCACUAUCUGAGCCCUUGGUUGACUGGAUAGAAGUCACCCUGUUGAUAGGACACCACAGGGCCUAUGAGUUAUGCCCUGAAUUCUUUCAGCAAGGCCAAAGACAUGCUAUGGCCACUUGGUUCUUGUCACUUCAUUUAAGAGCAUGAAUGCUGAGGACCAGAGGCAGAAGCCAACCAACUGAUUCAACUGGCAGCCAAACACAAAGUCACUUGUUUCUUGGUUCAAGAAAAUUAUUUUUAAAAAAUUCAACAUCCAGUUAUAGCUUAAAUUAUUAUCUUUUUUGAAUAGACAAUGAAAUAAAACACACUGCAGAGUACUUAGAAAAACAUGCUGAGAAAAGCAAAAGACAGAGGCUUUGGUGAAAAACUUUUGAACUUACUACUUUAAACCAAAGUUUAGUGUUUUUAAAUUUCUCACUUACUUUUAAAGAUACAAAUUAAGAUUUUUCUGCAUUCAGGUUGGUUCUGCUAGUCCCUGUUCCACAGUCUUACUCCUCUUAUCCUCUUAAGAGUAGUAUUUUGCAUUUUGUUUCAAGUACUUAUUAACACCUUUUUCUUUGUCAGGAAUUAUGCCAGGUAUAGAGGUGACUGUAGAAUAAGAAACAGCUUGCCUCUGGGGACAGACACUGAGACUAAACUCUCAAACAUGUUCUCAUCCUCUCUGUUAAAUUCCUUCUUAUGAUAUCACCAGUCUGAGCUUUAUAGAUGAUCUUCUUACACGUCAUAUGGUCUCUGCACAUUCAACAAUGAGCCUUACUUAGCUUUUUUUAAGAUAUGCUAAACUCUAAAAACUCCUGCUGGGCUUGUUUUCUUUAUCUGGUUCUUUUUCUUGGGUUCUUUCCUGGGUGCUACGUAUCAGUCUGGCAUCGUGAAGAGCUAAAGUAAGAAGGAUUAGCUCACCUCCGAUUCCCCUUGCUGCACUCUGUGGUCAGGGUUUUGUUGGGUACCAUUUCCUCUAAAUUUAUUCUAGUCCAUUUACCCCUAGAUUGUUUUUUCCCACAUUAAUAAAUCAUCAUUAUUAUCCACUGAGGCAUUAUUUUUAAUAAUUAAAUAACAGAAACGUAAUCUGUAUCUACAUCUGUAAGGAGUUAGUUAAAUAAAUUAUAAAAUCCUCUCCAGCCUUUAAGAAGGAUGAGAUCCGAAUGAGCACAUAUCUAUCGCACAUUGUCAAAUUAAACCAACAAACAUGUUGCAGAACAACAUAUAUUGUAUGAUCUCAUUUAAAAAAUGCACAUGUGAAUCUGUAUAACAUAUGUAUCUGAAUAUAUGUAUUUAUAUAUGUAUAUACACAUACAUAAGAAGUAUAUUUUAUCUGAGUGGAAAAAGUCUUAGGAGAAACUAACAAUGGGAAAUCUAUCAAGUAAGUUGGGGAAGGGGCACAUAAAAGGAAAGUCACUCUAACUCUAUGUUAUUGACUGUUUUGACCUAAUAGAUACUCCUUUUUAAAUGAAGGAAUAAGUAGACAGAAGAGAUAUAUAUUUAUUUUCCUAGACAUUUCAAGACUAUUAAGUCUAGAAUUCCACAGAUAUUGACUUUUCAUUAGUUUUUUUAAAUAUUUAUUUUUUAGUUGUAGUUGAACACAAUACCUUUAUUUUAUUUAUUUGUUUUUAUGUGGUACUGGGGAUUGAACCCAGGGCCUCACACAUGCUAGGCGAGUACUCUACCGCUAAGCCACAACCCCAGCCUAGACUUUUUAUUAGUUUUGUUGAUAAACUUAUUAACAAAGUUUGGGUUUAAAGGCAUCUACCACCAUGAGGCCCAGUGGUCCCCUCCUGUAAUCCCAGCAACUCAGAAGGCUGAGGUAGGAGCAUCACAAGUUUGAGAGCAACCUCAGCAACUUAGUGAGAACCUGUCUCAAAAUAAUAAAAAAUAAAAAGGGCUGGGGAUGUAACUAGUGGUAGAACACCCCUGGGUUCAAUCCCCAGUACCAAAAAUAAAUAAAUAACCAACAAACAAAAAGCAUCUCUUGCCUCUGAUAGGGUGUUAGCACCAUAUUCUUGGCCUCUGCAAAGUGUGUUUCCUGCAAUCUCAUUAUACAUGUUUCUGGAAAUCUUGGCCACAUGAAGGACGUGGCCCUGGAAAGUUUAUUUACUAACAAAUAAAUAAAUACUUAAAGGAAGCCAGAGAGGUAUCAUUUUAAUCUCACAGGCUGGGAAACUGAGGCACCAAAGGUUGAUCAGGCAUGUCAAGGUCACCUAGCAAGUUAAAUGUGAUGAGGUAUGGAUAGAUAAGGUUUUGAGUAUCAAAAUCUGGUGUCCCAGGUUCAAGCUCUUACCAUGUUACUUUGUUUUUUUUUUUAAGUAAUCUUUUUAAAAUUUCCUGAGCCCCAGUUUCCCUUUCAGUACAAUAAGUAUUAUAAUAUCUGUCUCUUAGAACAGUGCUAUUACAUGAGAGUACGUAAUUUUAUGCAUAUCAUAAAACACUAAAUAUUCGAUAGAAGGACCAACAACCAGGAAACUAAGAAUUAAUAUUUAUUAUGUGGCGGCUGGUUCUACAACAAGAUUUAUGCUUGUUUAAUUUUCUUAUGCUCCAAACAAAAAAUUUAAAAUGUCUUUCCAGUCUUUUAGAAGCUGUCCCUUCAAUAUGAAUGUUCCUGUUCUUCACGAUCAACCUUAAUUUUGUUUUUCUAUAUCCUAAAUAUUUCUGCAAAUGGGUUUAAAAUGAGGCACAAAAGUAUCAGUUCCGUGGAGAAGACAACUAGGCUUUACCAGAAUGCCAUGCCAAAUUGACUAGUACUCUGAAAGCAGAUGAAAGUUGUUUGAAAUGCUUCAAAGAGGAAGAAAAAUCUAAUCCCCCAAGGCUUCCUUUAAAUCCAUAUUCCUUAAUUUCAGAAAAAGUCCCAAGUCUUUGAAAAGUCCCAAAUAUCGUUUUACAGUUUGGAAGUCGUAAUGGAGAACAUUUAAAAAAAAAAUUUUUUUUUUUACAACAUUCUUCCUUUCUUAAAGAGCUCAGUAAAUCUGAGUUUCCUUCACAAAGGCCCAAGUGGACGAUGACCCUCCUGUCUUGGGAGCUGGGGGCACACGGACAUCCCCAGGGCUCUGAGCCUAGAGUUCAAGGCUAAUGACUACCUGGAGAAUUCCUUAAAGAAGCAGAGUCAGGCAUUUUCCCUGUUAUUUCUGGGCGAGAUUUGCAUGUCUGUCAUUGUGUGGAAGAACGCCCAGUCCCUCCACUAUGCAACACGGAAGAAAGAAAGUUUCCAAGUGAGAAGCAAAACAAGGCCAGUUGCAAUAGAAGCAAAUGAGACCAAUUUCCCGCUUCAGAAAACAAUUCUUGUGAAGCUGCUUUCAUCUGCUCAAAGAAGCAAACUCUUCCCCCACUCUUCUCCUGCUACCUAUGGACAUGCUUAGAUAACUAACUGCCCUGAGGAUCACAAUGAAUAUUUAUGGAGACUGUUACAAUGUGCCCAGCACUGUGCUGGAAAAGUCUAUUUGAAGUGUCCCUUUAAAUCUUCCCAAUUGCCUGGAGGCACAUACUGUUUAUUAUUAGCCCUAUUUUACAUAUGAGAAGGUUGAGUUGGAGACUGGCUCAUUGAGCUGCCUGCUGUCCUAGCUGGAUUCAAACCCAGAUCUUUCUGACUGAAAUCUGUGCUUAACCAGAACGAUGCAGAAUUGAAAUGCAAUCCAAGGCAGUGAAGGGAGAGAGCCUAUGUCAAACUUGUAGGUUGGACCUCAGUUGUGGAAUUGCAUUAUAAUUAACUCCUGUGUCCCAGCUAAAUGGUUUACAUGCAUGGUCUCAUUUAAUGUUUCCCAGCAUAUUUAAAUGGUAAACGCUAUCCUGACCCUGGAAAUACUUUGUCUCCUCUAUCAGAUGCUUCUUUUUCCCCCCUUCCUCCUCCCUCUGCAGCUUGGAGGCAAUGAGUGCAUUCAGCCUGGCCUAGGAUACAAAGUGAGUAGUCAAGGAAGAUCUGAGUAGUGUCUUUUAGGUGUCUUCUGUAUUGGUGUGAGAAGUUACAAGUGUCCCUCUCUGCUCUCCAUCUUCACGACAUCUCCCUGUGCACACAGUGCCAGAACAGUGACCUCAGACCACAGCUCCAAUGCUGAUUACAAGUAAUCCCGCUCCAGAGUGUCCUUUCUUUCAAAAAAGGAGAUAAAAAUAGCAAAGAAACAACACUUUCCUUAGUUCUCUGAAAGGUUGGCAUCCUUCCAGGAUAGACUUAUGUACUUUUUGUACUUGGAGGAAAAAAAAGAGAUGGGAUUUGGUCCAAGAAUAGUCCUACAAACCAGAGAAAUAUAGAGCAGGCAGCUGGAGUAGAGCAGCCAAGUGGUACCACCAGCUACAGGCCCAUUAAUUAACGUUCCCUGGUAUGUAGCGGUUCCCGUGACCUCGAUUCUUGUUGAAUUCACAGAGAUAAUUUUUACAGAGCCUCUACUUUUCUCACUGCAGUAUAUUUAUCCAAGGAGUACCUCGCAUAUUUCCCCUCAUCUCUCCAAGCAGUAAAUUUAUUCUAAUUGCAAAGAGAUAUAGUAAAAGCCUGAUUGAACACUUGGCAGUUUAUACAGAUUUAUUCCAGGGGCUUAAGGGGGUUUUUAGAGUGUGUGACUAGAGUAGGGUUGAGGGGAGCUGGGGAAAGGAGCCCAAGAGAAAAUGUAGAUUUAAUGGAUCUAUAAAAUGACCCUGCCAUAGAUAAAUGCUUGUUCCAAAGAAGUUUAAACAGCCUGACCCAAACGAGAGUCUGUGACAGCUAGUCGGACACGAGGUGUCUGUAGCAUUGCAUAUUUCUCUUUGGAUUUUCAGGUUUCCAUAUGAAAUUUGUUAUUCCCCAGGCAGCGGGAGGGUGUGGAAUCUGUUUUCCAGAGGGAGGGAAGCAUAUUUAACUGCACAUUUCCAAGCACUAAAAGCUAUGAACAGAGGCAAAAAGUAAACUUCCAGCACCUGCCCUGAAAAUCACUGCUGUCUCUCUAACUCCCCAAGGGCUAAAGGCGGAAUUUCAAGCCUAGGAUCCUGGAAGACAGGUCACAAGAACCUGCCCUUGGUCCUGGAGAAUUCUGAACAAGAAUGGGGAGUCUUCUGAAGCCCAGGUAUCCCAGGCACUUCCAGUGGAUAAUGAGACAGAUUCUAACCCCCGAUGGGGCUUCCGCUCAGAACAGGCUAUGCGUGCGCAUGCUACUGAACUUUUCCCCGAAAACCUUCUAGGCUUUUGAUCCCAGGAGUGACAUUCAUCAUUUUUGCAGCUGCUUUGCAAGUUCUGCUGAGGAUGAAUUUUAGGACUUUCAACUGUUAAAUUGGUUAUAUUGUAAAUCUAAUCAGGCACUAAAAUUGGAGACAUUUGUUCGGAGAAAGAGGCAAAAUAGAAAAGUGUCCCUAAGCAGAUGCUGGUAGAGAGGAAGGCCAGAGGGUGAACGCACUGGUCUCUUUGGUUAGAGGCUAAUAGGGGAUCAUGUCAGCAGUUUGUGGAUUCCCUCUCUUUUGUUUUUUUUCAGGAAUUGGCAGGAGACCUUGGGUGAAAAUGUUAAACUUUUUUUUUUAAGUUGUAUAUGGACUCAAUGCCUUUAUUUGUUUUUAUGUAGUGCUAGGAUCGAACCCUAUGCCUCAUACUUGCGAGGCAAGUGCUGUUCCACUGAGCUACAACUCCAGCCCAAAAUGUUAAACUUUUUGAUUAUGAAAUAAAGCACUCAUACAGAAAAACAAUGCAGUUUAACAGAUUGUGAUAAAGUUAACAACCAUGUCAGGAAGUAUAAUGUUGGAACCUGGCAUGGUGGCUCAUCCCUGUAAUCCCAGCUACUUGAGAGGUUGAGACAGGAGGAUCGCAAGUUCAAGGCCAACCUGGGCAAUUUAGUGAGAUUCUGUCUCAAAAUAAAGAUAGAAUGGGGUGGGGUGGGGUGCAUAGCUGGUAGAGAACUUGCCUAGCAAGUGUGAGUUCCUGGGUUCAAUCCCCAGUACCCACCUCAUAUGUCCAUAAGGUAUAAUGUGCAGAACCAUUAUCUGAACUGUUAAAGAUAUCAAUUCCUUGCUUAAAAAAAUUAUUUAGCUCCUAACCUGAGAGCUCCAAACCCUGUUUAAGAAGGGUUAAUAUUACCUGUUUUUGAACUUUUUAUAAAUGGCACUAAUGCAUUUUUCUUUUGUGUAUGGCUUCUCUUGCUCCACUUGGUGAGAAUUAUACACCUUAUCUGUAACCACAACUCACAUUCAUUUCUGUAUGAUAUUUUUUAUUUGCCCAUGUACUGCUGAUGGACACUCAGGUAAUUUUCAGAAUGGGGAUGUUACUAAUAAAGCUGGGAGAAGCAUUCUUUUGCACACAUGUGAAUGUAUAUGGGAUUUUGCUCUGCCUGCCUGGUUGAGGUCACACAAUCCUAUUUAAGCCCAAUUUGAAUCAGGGCAAGUCCUAAAUUUAAGGGAAAAAUCAGCAAUUUUUUUUCACUUGUUCACUCAUUCAAUAAUAAAUACAAAUCAAACUUCAGAUAUGAUGAGUCAAUUGUUAAAAAAAAAAAAAACUCUUUCCACUGGUUGGAUCUGUUUUCUGGCAGAGUCCUGACUCAUACAGGUAACAUGCUAUUUUCAUAGGCUUGCUUGGUAGCACAGGAACAAAAAUUUUCUCAAGCUAAUUUAAGUAAAGGGGAAAGUUUGUGUUUUAAAAUUUUUUUUAGUUGUUGAUGGACCUUUAUUUUAAUUAUUUAUGUGUGCCACUGAGAAUCAAACCCAGUGCCUUACACAUGCUACACAAGAGCUCUAUUUAAAUAAAGGGGAAACUUUUUAAGGAAAUAUUUCCAGUCUUCAAUAUUAACUUCCUUGAUACCAAGUCAUUAUAGCACUAUCUGUAUUUCAGAUACUUUUCCAAAUUAAAAGUACUCUGGGUGGGUGCACAGUUUCUUCUUCUUCAGGGAUUGGAGCUCUCAGGCAAAGAAAGCUUGCUGAGGUUUGGAUAUGGUUGACUCCCAAGAUUUAUGUGUGGGAGACUUGGUCCUCAGUGUGGCAGUAUCAUGGUGGUGUGCCUUUAAGGGGUGGGUCCUAAUGGGAGGUCCUUAGGUCAUUUGGAGGUUGUGCCUUCAGAAGUGAUUGUGGAACUCCAACUUUUCUAGCUUCGUAUUUUGGACCAAGUGUGCUGCUGCCAUCCACCAUGAGGUCAUCAAUAGAGCCCAGCUGAUGCUGGCAUCAUGACCUUGAUUCUCCAGAACUGUGAGCUAAAUAAACCUCUUUACUUUAUAAAGUCA